UGGAGCAAUUCACCCAUCAAGUCCGACUGCACAUCUACCACUCCCCUCUCAGGAGGCUCCAAAGUGAACCAUCAGUCCUGGAAAGCCACGGGAGCUAAGCCAGCAGAAUCAUGAUUCAGCAAGUUGGGGUUCAGGGAGGCACCAGGGAUGCACACAGAGAGAGGAAAGACCACGUGAGCACAGAGCAAUGAGAUGGCCAACCACAAGCCCAGGAGAGAGGCCUCAGAAGAAACCAAUCCUGUCAGCACAUCGGUCAUGAACUUUCAGCCUCCACAACAGUGAAAAGCAGCCACCCAGCAGACAGAAAGAUAAGACUGAAACGGAAGGCAGCAGCCC